ACAUUCUCAAAUCAGUUCACCCCCAAUUCCUUCGAUCCCUAAUGCAAUUACUUCACGAUCGAACCUUACUUCUCAUCCCCAAAUCUUCUCUUCAAUCCCUAUUCCAAUUGUGCUUCGCGAUCAGACCCCGACUUCACCUCCAUAGUCGUGACAAUACCCCUGCUCCACUCGAGCCUUGUCUCCAAGGUUCGAAAUCAAGGAAUUGGGAUCGUAAAACGGAAAAAUUCUCUCAAGUUGCAUUUUCAACCCCAAUGUUAGACCACUGAAUCAAGAGUUGAAUCAUAGCCCAAUUGUUACGUUUAAUAAUUCGUUUUUCCAAUACAAUAGUCGGAUAUACCCGUAGCUGAUCGUCGUCUCAAAGCUCCGGUGGAUGUAUCGAGGUACUAAAGACUUGUCUGACCGCUCGCCAGCUUGACCUGGCUCUUCUCGAUCCGUUAGGCCAUGAGAGUCGAUUGUCACUCAUUCGAGUACUGUAGCAGAGUAUGCCGAGGUUGGUGCUUAGUAGUUUUACUGUGUGCCCUAUUUUACGAGAUACUUGUGGAUAAACACCAAUUUAGACACUCGGAGGAUCGACACAUUAUAGAAGAACUUUUUGUUGUAAUAUUUCUAUCUUCAGAAUUGUUUUUAAUUAUGUGACAUGGGCCUAUAUUUUGACAUACUCGUUUUAUGACGAUGAUGAUGUUUAUGGAUUUUGCUAUUGUACUUCAGGUUUAUGACUUGUUUUGUUUUAUGUAACUAUUUUUUUUUCAGUUUUA